rnacentral:rRNA from 1 species
GACGAACGCUGGCGGCGUGCUUAACACAUGCAAGUCGAACGAAGUGGCGAACGGGUGAGUAACGCGUAAUCAACCUGCCCGUCAGAGGGGGACAACAGUGGAAAACGACUGCUAAUACCGCAUACUGACUGCAGUUAUUGCGUCCGAUUAGCUAGUUGGAGGUGGAACGGCCCACCAAGGCGAGGAUCAGUAGCCGGUCUGAGAGGGUGAACGGCGAAAUUGGGACUGGGACACGGCCAAGACUCCUACGGGAGGCAGCAGUGGGGAAUCUUCCGCAAUGGGCGGAAGUCUGACGGAGCAACGCCGCGGGAGUGAUGACGGGCUUCGGGUUGUAAAGCUAUGUUAAUCGGGAAGCGGUACCGGAAGAGAAAGCCACGGCUAACUACGUGCCAGCAGCCGCGGUAAUUC